UGGGGAAUUUUGGACAAUGGGCGCAAGCCUGAUCCAGCCAUGCCGCGUGCAGGAUGAAGGCCUUCGGGUUGUAAACUGCUUUUGUACGGAACGAAAAGGUGCCUUCUAAUAAAGGGCGCUCAUGACGGUACCGUAAGAAUAAGCACCGGCUAACUACGUGCCAGCAGCCGCGGUAAUACGUAGGGUGCGAGCGUUAAUCGGAAUUAUUGGGCGUAAAGCGCGCGCAGGCGGCUUAUUAAGUCUGAUGUGAAAGCCCACGGCUCAACCGUGGAGGGCCAUUGGAAACUGGUAGGCUUGAGUGCGGGAGAGGAGAGCGGAAUUCCCGGUGUAGCGGUGAAAUGUGUAGAUAUCGGGAGGAACACCCGUGGCGAAGGCGGCUCUCUGGCCUGUAACUGACGCUGAGGCGCGAAAGCGUGGGGAGCAAACA
rnacentral:rRNA from 1 species